ACAGGGAACAUCAUUAGAAACUCAGUGCCCAGGGUUUUAGUGGGGCUGGAGUUUUAGGGGGACUAUUGUUACAUUUAAUAUAAUUAAUUUUAAACUGUGAAAAUAUUUAAUUUGCUUUGCAUUCCCCUCAGUUCUUUCUACUUUGGAAAAAGUCUAUGUAUUUGGCUUUGAAAAUGAAGAACAAAGAGUGAAGACUGAACAGGAAGACUUAUCUUUUGUCUGUUUACAGAAGUCUAUUUGAAAGCCGUUGCAAAGCCUCUCCUGCCCAGACUUCUUCACACCAGCACAGUCUUCAAAGAUCCCUUUGGAAGUUGUGUGGUGCAGAAAGACCAGAGCCUUUCUUGGAGACAGCAGGUAUGGGGGAGGGGCAUCUCCAACUGUCACAUCCAGGCCACCUCUGAGACUGAAUUCUGGGACCAGAGAGGAGUUAGCAGU
rnacentral:lncRNA from 1 species